rnacentral:rRNA from 1 species
AGAGUUUGAUCCUGGCUCAGGAUGAACGCUGGCGGCGUGCUUAACACAUGCAAGUCGAACGAUCCUUCGGGAUAGUGGCGGACGGGUGAGUAACGCGUGGGAAUCUGCCCUCAGGAGGGGGAUAACGGCUGGAAACGGCCGCUAAUACCCCAUAUGCCGAGAGGUGAAAUGAAUUUCGCCUGAGGAUGAGCCCGCGUCUGAUUAGCUAGUUGGUGGGGUAAAGGCCUACCAAGGCAACGAUCAGUAGCUGGUCUGAGAGGAUGAUCAGCCACACUGGGACUGAGACACGGCCCAGACUCCUACGGGAGGCAGCAGUGGGGAAUUUUCCGCAAUGGGCGAAAGCCUGACGGAGCAACGCCGCGUGAGGGAUGAAGGCCUCUGGGCUGUAAACCUCUUUUCUCAAGGAAGAAGACCUGACGGUACUUGAGGAAUAAGCCACGGCUAAUUCCGUGCCAGCAGCCGCGGUAAUACGGGAGUGGCAAGCGUUAUCCGGAAUUAUUGGGCGUAAAGCGUCCGCAGGCGGCCUUGUAAGUCUGUUGUUAAAGCGUGGAGCUCAACUCCAUUUAAGCAAUGGAAACUACAAGGCUGGAGUGUGGUAGGGGCAGAGGGAAUUCCCGGUGUAGCGGUGAAAUGCGUAGAUAUCGGGAAGAACACCAGUGGCGAAGGCGCUCUGCUGGGCCAUAACUGACGCUCAUGGACGAAAGCCAGGGGAGCGAAAGGGAUUAGAUACCCCUGUAGUCCUGGCCGUAAACGAUGAACACUAGGUGUCGGGGGAAUCGACCCCCUCGGUGUCGUAGCCAACGCGUUAAGUGUUCCGCCUGGGGAGUACGCACGCAAGUGUGAAACUCAAAGGAAUUGACGGGGGCCCGCACAAGCGGUGGAGUAUGUGGUUUAAUUCGAUGCAACGCGAAGAACCUUACCAGGGUUUGACAUCCUGCGAACCCCUGAGAAAUCGGGGGGUGCCUUCGGGAGCGCAGAGACAGGUGGUGCAUGGCUGUCGUCAGCUCGUGUCGUGAGAUGUUGGGUUAAGUCCCGCAACGAGCGCAACCCACGUCUUUAGUUGCCAGCAUUCAGUUGGGCACUCUAGAGAGACCGCCGGUGAUAAACCGGAGGAAGGUGUGGAUGACGUCAAGUCAUCAUGCCCCUUACAUCCUGGGCUACACACGUACUACAAUGCUACGGACAAAGGGCAGCAAGCUCGCGAGAGUUAGCAAAUCCCAUAAACCGUGGCUCAGUUCAGAUCGUAGGCUGCAACUCGCCUACGUGAAGGAGGAAUCGCUAGUAAUCGCAGGUCAGCAUACUGCGGUGAAUACGUUCCCGGGCCUUGUACACACCGCCCGUCACACCAUGGAAGUUGGCCAUGCCCGAAGUCGUUACUCCAACCCUUGUGGAGGAGGACGCCGAAGGUGCGGCUGGAUCACCUCA